rnacentral:rRNA from 1 species
GAUGAACGCUGGCGGCGUGCUUAACACAUGCAAGUCGAACGGAAAGGCCCAAGCUUGCUUGGGUACUCGAGUGGCGAACGGGUGAGUAACACGUGGGUGAUCUGCCCUGCACUUCGGGAUAAGCCUGGGAAACUGGGUCUAAUACUGGAUAGGACCACUUCUUGGAUGUUGUGGUGGAAAGUUUUUUCGGUGUGGGAUGAGCUCGCGGCCUAUCAGCUUGUUGGUGGGGUAAUGGCCUACCAAGGCGUCGACGGGUAGCCGGCCUGAGAGGGUGUACGGCCACAUUGGGACUGAGAUACGGCCCAGACGCCUACGGGAGGCAGCAGUGGGGAAGAUUGCACAAGGGGCGCAAGCCGGAUGCAGCGACGCCGCGGGGGGGAUGACGGCCUUCGGGUUGUAAACGCCUUUCGCUAGGGACGAAGCGUUUUGUGACGGUACCUGGAGAAGAAGCACCGGCUAACUACGUG